UGGGGAAUAUUGCACAAUGGGCGCAAGCCUGAUGCAGCCAUGCCGCGUGUAUGAAGAAGGCCUUCGGGUUGUAAAGUACUUUCAGCGGUGAGGAAGGGAGUAAAGUUAAUACCUUUACUCAUUGACGUUACCCGCAGAAGAAGCACCGGCUAACUCCGUGCCAGCAGCCGCGGUAAUACGGAGGGUGCAAGCAUUAAUCGGAAUUACUGGGCGUAAAGCGCACGCAGGCGGUUUGUUAAGUCAGAUGUGAAAUCCCCGGGCUCAACCUGGGAACUGCAUCUGAUACUGGCAAGCUUGAGUCUCGUAGAGGGGGGUAGAAUUCCAGGUGUAGCGGUGAAAUGCGUAGAGAUCUGGAGGAAUACCGGUGGCGAAGGCGGCCCCCUGGACGAAGACUGACGCUCAGGUGCGAAAGCGUGGGGAGCAAACAGG
rnacentral:rRNA from 1 species